rnacentral:rRNA from 1 species
CAUGCAGUCGAGCGGGGGAGGUUGCUUCGGUAACUGACCUAGCGGCGGACGGGUGAGUAAUGCUUAGGAAUCUGCCUAUUAGUGGGGGACAACAUUCCGAAAGGAAUGCUAAUACCGCAUACGCCCUACGGGGGAAAGCAGGGGAUCUUCGGACCUUGCGCUAAUAGAUGAGCCUAAGUCGGAUUAGCUAGUUGGUGGGGUAAAGGCCUACCAAGGCGACGAUCUGUAGCGGGUCUGAGAGGAUGAUCCGCCACACUGGGACUGAGACACGGCCCAGACUCCUACGGGAGGCAGCAGUGGGGAAUAUUGGACAAUGGGGGGAACCCUGAUCCAGCCAUGCCGCGUGUGUGAAGAAGGCCUUUUGGUUGUAAAGCACUUUAAGCGAGGAGGAGGCUACCGAGACUAAUACUCUUGGAUAGUGGACGUUACUCGCAGAAUAAGCACCGGCUAACUCUGUGCCAGCAGCCGCGGUAAUACAGAGGGUGCGAGCGUUAAUCGGAUUUACUGGGCGUAAAGCGUGCGUAGGCGGCUGAUUAAGUCGGAUGUGAAAUCCCUGAGCUUAACUUAGGAAUUGCAUUCGAUACUGGUCAGCUAGAGUAUGGGAGAGGAUGGUAGAAUUCCAGGUGUAGCGGUGAAAUGCGUAGAGAUCUGGAGGAAUACCGAUGGCGAAGGCAGCCAUCUGGCCUAAUACUGACGCUGAGGUACGAAAGCAUGGGGAGCAAACAGGAUUAGAUACCCUGGUAGUCCAUGCCGUAAACGAUGUCUACUAGCCGUUGGGGCCUUUGAGGCUUUAGUGGCGCAGCUAACGCGAUAAGUAGACCGCCUGGGGAGUACGGUCGCAAGACUAAAACUCAAAUGAAUUGACGGGGGCCCGCACAAGCGGUGGAGCAUGUGGUUUAAUUCGAUGCAACGCGAAGAACCUUACCUGGUCUUGACAUAGUAAGAACUUUCCAGAAUGG